AACACAGAUUUUCUUGAAUGACUAUUCUAUUCUAUUUACAAAAAGUGUUAAUUUUUUCGGAAUUAGUUUCUUAUAGCAGAUUUCUUUGAACUUCAUCAGUGUAUUAAACCCAAAAAACAGUAAAAUUUUCCUUCAAAGUAUUUUGAAAUCUUCAAAGGUUAUCUGA
ensembl:snoRNA R11A5.8 ncRNA